rnacentral:rRNA from 1 species
GACGAACGCUGGCGGCGUGCUUAACACAUGCAAGUCGAACGGAAAGGCCCUGCUUUUGUGGGGUGCUCGAGUGGCGAACGGGUGAGUAACACGUGAGUAACCUGCCCUUGACUUUGGGAUAACUUCAGGAAACUGGGGCUAAUACCGGAUAGGAGCUCCUGCUGCAUGGUGGGGGUUGGAAAGUUUCGGCGGUUGGGGAUGGACUCGCGGCUUAUCAGCUUGUUGGUGGGGUAGUGGCUUACCAAGGCUUUGACGGGUAGCCGGCCUGGGAGGGUGACCGGCCACAUUGGGCCUGCGCUACGGCCCAGACUCCUACGGGAGGCAGCGGUGGGGAAUAUUGCACAAUGGGCGGAAGCCUGAUGCAGCAACGCCGCGUGCGGGAUGACGGCCUUCGGGUUGUAAACCGCUUUCGCCUGUGACGAAGCGUGAGUGACGGUAAUGGGUAAAGAAGCACCGGCUAACUACGUG